GACGAACGCUGGCGGCGUGCUUAACACAUGCAAGUCGAACGGAAAGGCCCUGCUUGCAGGGUACUCGAGUGGCGAACGGGUGAGUAACACGUGGGUGAUCUGCCCUGCACUUCGGGAUAAGCCUGGGAAACUGGGUCUAAUACCGGCUAGGAGCCAUUUUUAGUGUGAUGGUUGGAAAGUUUUUUCGGUGUAGGAUGAGCUCGCGGCCUAUCAGCUUGUUGGUGGGGUAAUGGCCUACCAAGGCGGCGACGGGUAGCCGGCCUGAGAGGGUGGACGGCCACAUUGGGACUGAGAGACGGCCCAGACUGCUACGGGAGGCAGCAGUGGGGAAUAUUGCACAAUGGGCGCAAGCCUGAUGCAGCGACGCCGCGGGGGGGAUGACGGCCUUCGGGUUGAAAACUCCUUUCGCUAGGGACGAAGCUUUUUGUGACGGUACCUAGAUAAGAAGCACCGGCUAACUACGUG
rnacentral:rRNA from 1 species